rnacentral:lncRNA from 1 species
GAUAACAUCUGUGAAGAAGUCUUAUCUAUACUGGUUCCCACACAUGUGCGGCCUUGUAGUAGAUUGUUUUGUUAAACAGCUCUAUUGAGGUUUGACUGACAUUGAAAACGUACCAUCUGAGGAGUCUGCUGUCCAUAUGUGUACAGCGAAACUUCACAAUUAAUAAACAUAAUGUGUGUGUUACUGAGCGCCGUAAGUCCACCAUUUGGGGAAUUAGUUAGUGGUAAUUUACGACCCUGUGGAACUGGACUUACUAAUCCAAACAACUCCUGAAGCCCUUCGACAAACAGGCCCAGGCUCGCUUGGACCGUAGAGCAGUUUGCUAGGGAUGCCAUUAAUAGGUGCCUCCAACUGCUGCCUUAAAGGGCCCCCUCACUGCUGUCCCCCAGCUCUGGGUUCUGGACACCCAGACCAAGCUGGGGGCGAGGGCUGGUUCCUUCCCUAGCUUCUGGUGAUUUUGCUGGCAAUCCUCGUGUUCCUUGGUUUGAGUUGCUUCACCCUGAUCUCUGUCUUGUGUUCCCUUGAUGUCCUCCUGUGUCUGUCUCCAAUAUGCCCCUUUUUGUAGGAACACCCGUCACUGGAUUGGAUCACACUCUAGUCACCUCAUUUUAAUCAGAUUACUUCUGGGAAGAUCCUGUUUCCAAAUAAGGUCAGCACAUGAAUCGGGGGCAGGCACCCUUCAACCCACAAGAGUCCACAGCUCUCAGGAUCUGUGGGUGUCCCAACCACCAGCUUUACAGGUGAGUGACCCUGGUACCUCCUGAUGGUCUCACUACAGCUAGGUCACGUUCACAGAGGCUCCCACCAGGUUCUACACCAGACGGCCACUUAUUAAAUGAGCUUUAGUAAAUGGGUCCAAGAAGAGUCCUCAGAGCUGCCCAGGCCCCUCCCUGUAGGGCCCUGAGCCACCUGAGUAGGGGGUAACCCAGCUCCCUGCAGGGUCCAGUUUAACCUGCGCAGGGAUCAGCCAGCUGGAAUCUUCUGAAAUCAGGGCUGGAUGUAGGAUCACUGCUGAUUCUGGCCCUGGUGCCAUCCUGAUGGGCAAAGAUGAAGGGCUCACAGCGGUGAAGGAGCCUCUCCGGAGCCCCGCACACGGAGCACCGCUAGCCUUGCACGGCCAACCAUUUGUACUAUCC